ensembl:lncRNA
CCCACAUCCCCCGACAAAGCUCGGCAAUAGGGUUGCAAUAGGGUUGUCCUGCGUGCAUGGGUUCGUCGCUGCCGUGCCGCUCCAGAGGACAUCUUGCUCCCCUUGUUUUGGCGACGGGCUUUGUUCUCCCCAUAAUGGUGUGAUGGAUGGAAGGGAAGCACCGCUGUAUUUUAAACGCCCUGCGUCCGAUGCAUCGUUUUUUAAUCGUGUCAGAGUGACUGUAGGCACUGAUAAUUAAUCUGGAUGGAGUCAGCCAGGCGCCCUGAAACCUCGGCGCAGCCUGUCUCCAAGUGCAGCACUCAAGACUUGAGGCAGUGGGCUCAGGACACGACCAAUAUCCCCUGUGACAACACCAUCAGGAUGUGUUUCCUGGCUUGACCAUGUGUGAGCCCCACAGCCUCUCGCAGGGGAGAGAAGAGUUGAGAAGAGCAGAACAGUGCUGUCCCAGGACAGAGGACUGCCAGCACACCUGCCCUGGAGAAUGAAUUUAGAACAGGGCUUUUUCCUUGCAAAGGCUGUGGUGCAUCUCCUUGAUACAGUGAAUCCAUACUGAUGAAUGGGUGUCCGGAGCCCUUUCCCAGCCAGCCUGUGAAAAUUCCUGGACAACAUCAUGCUGUGAAGCUCCAGGUCUUUGCUGUCACAGGUCGGAGGAAUGCCAAGGUAUGAGGGAUGAGCUCUCACCAGACCCAAGCCAGCUUGAUCAGGCUCUGCUGGGGCCAGGCUCCUUGCUGACAACAGGAGGAUCUGGACCAGGGACCGUCUUUCAGAGGAGGCGAAUCCUUAACUUGAACUGCUUCCACGGUGGGCGGCCACGUCUGGCAGGCAUCAGGGGACCAGCCGCAGCCGCCCCCAGAAGCAGCAUGAGCCCCGGAGCCAGGCACAGCCCUCCCACGUCUCCUUUGUGCCUCAAGACGCCCGGCCCCGCACCCACCCCCCAAGGGCUGCUUUCCCUGUUGAUAAUCCAUUAUCUACAUUUAAUGCCUCGCUGACGUCCUUCCCUUUGUCUGAUGGUGAAACCUCGACCAGAUGUGAAGCUUCUUAUGUUACUAAUGGCAAAUCCUUUUGCAAUAGCUGGUUGGAAAAUGGGGAAACUGUUUUCAUGAAGUGAAAAUUGAAACAUUGGAGUAAUUUUCAUUCUGCAAGCCUCACAAAGGAGUGGUUUUUAUUUGAGGUCAUUUCUAUUUUUUUUUUCCAGAAAAAAAGCUGUAGCUCAGAAGAUGAGUUUGUGGUAGCGCUCUCACCACUGAACAUUUCUGCUGUCCCAGUGCAGUUCCUAUUACUCUCGUGUUCCACUUCUGAAAAAAAAUGAAGUGGGGGAAGGGAGGUGGCACAGCCCAGGUCUGCAGGCUGCCUGAUGCCUUGCUGGGGCAGCUUAAGGCUUGGGAUACAGCCUGCCCUGGGCAGAGCCAUGAUAGCUGGAGCAGCGAGUCCUUGCCCUGCUGACAACUUAAAGAGGGUCAGCCACAACCCCCCUAUAAAGCAGAGGUGGUAAGGUGUGGCUGAGGAUGGCUCAAUCGUUUGCUGCCUCUCUGAGCAGUGUCCCCAGUAAGCUAUGCAGUGGGAGCGCCUGGGUGAAGAGCAGAAAGCACCCCUUGGUGCAGCGCGUGUUGGUGGGAGAGCAGACAGGCAGCAGUACCCAAACAAAGCCCUCGAGGGUUUGCAGAUGGAGCCAUGGUGCUGCAGGCUAGGAUCUAAACUGAGACCCCCAGGCUACGGGCAUGCAGCUAACACAGCAUGCAGCCCCUUUCUGGAGAGCGACAGCACUAGCAGGGC